GUCGAGAAUAAUUCACAAUGGACGAAAGUCUGAUGGUGCAACGCCGCGUGGAGGAUGAAGGUCUUCGGAUUGUAAACUCCUGUCAUCGGGGAGUAAGACCUGGCGGUAAAUAGCCGACAGGGUUGAUAGUACCCGAAGAGGAAGGGACGGCUAACUUCGUGCCAGCAGCCGCGGUAAUACGAAGGUCCCAAGCGUUGUUCGGAAUCACUGGGCGUAAAGGGAGCGUAGGCGGCGUGGUAAGUCAGAUGUGAAAUCCCGGGGCUCAACCCCGGAACUGCAUCCGAUACUGCCAUGCGUGAGGGUUGGAGAGGUAGCUGGAAUUCUCGGUGUAGCAGUGAAAUGCGUGGAUAUCGAGAGGAACACUCGUGGCGAAGGCGAGCUACUGGACAACAUCUGACGCUGAGGCUCGAAGGCCAGGGGAGCAAAAGGGAUUAGAUACCCGAGUAGUCC
rnacentral:rRNA from 1 species